GAUGAAGAACGUAGCGAAAUGCGAUAAGUAAUGUGAAUUGCAGAAUUCAGUGAAUCAUCGAAUCUUUGAACGCACAUUGCGCCCGCCAGUAUUCUGGCGGGCAUGCCUGUUCGAGCGUCAUUUCAACCAUCAAGCCCCCGGCUUGUGUUGGGGACCUGCGGCUGCCGCAGGCCCUGAAAACCAGUGGCGGGCUCGCUAGUCACUCCGAGCGUAGUAAUACAUCUCGCUCAGGGCGUGCUGCGGGUUCCGACCGUUAAAAAAGCCUUAUUUACCCAAGGUUGACCUCGGAUCAGGUAGGAAGACCCGCUGAACUUAAGCAUAUCAAUAAGCGGAGGA
rnacentral:misc_RNA from 1 species